rnacentral:rRNA from 1 species
AGCAGUCGCCGCGGGAAUACAGAGGGUGCGAGCGUUAAUCGGAUUUACUGGGCGUAAAGCGUGCGUAGGCGGCUAAUUGAGUCGGAUGUGAAAUCCCCGAGCUUAACUUGGGAAUUGCAUUCGAUACUGGUUAGCUAGAGUGUGGGAGAGGAUGGUAGAAUUCCAGGUGUAGCGGUGAAAUGCGUAGAGAUCUGGAGGAAUACCGAUGGCGAAGGCAGCCAUCUGGCCUAACACUGACGCUGAGGUACGAAAGCAUGGGGAGCAAACAGGAUUAGAUAUCCGGGUAGUCCCUGUCUCUUAUAC